rnacentral:rRNA from 1 species
GCCUGUUUAUAAAGAAUAGUAGAACUGUAUUCUAUAUAUGCUGCCCAAUGAAAAAUUUUUUAUGGCCUUAAAGUAGCGCAAUAAUUAGUUUAUUAAUUGUAAACCUGUAUGAAGACAGCAUGAGAUAAAAAUGUGUUAUCUUUAUUAAUUGAAUUUUAGAUAUUAGUAAAAACGCUAUAUAUAUCUUGAAGACGAUAAGACCCUUAGACCUUUACUAAGUUUAGCUGGGAUAGCUUAAUUUAAUAGAAUAAAAAUACAUUUAUGCUAUUAAAAACCAAUCAUAUUGCUACACAUCAGGAUACCUUAGGGAUAUACAGCGUCGAAAUAUCUUUAGAGCCCCUAUUUAUAAGUAUAUUAGUGACCUCGAUGUUGAAUUAAGUAAUUUGGAGCUGCAGAAGGUUCUAUUUUAAGUCUGUUCGACUUGCCGUACUUACAUGAUUUGAGUUUAGAUCGACGUAAGCCAGAUUGGUUCCUAUA